rnacentral:rRNA from 1 species
AACAGCCGCGGUAAUUCCAGCUCCAAUAGCGUAUAUUAAAGUUGUUGCAGUUAAAAAGCUCGUAGUUGAAUUUCGGAAUCGACGGAUUGGUCGCGCCUUCGGUGUGUACUGGUCUUGCCGGUUUCUCCCUUCUGACGAACCACGAUGUCAUUAAUUUGGUGUCGUGGGGAAUCAGGACUGUUACUUUGAAAAAUUAGAGUGUUUAAAGCAGGCAUUAGCUUGAAUACAUUAGCAUGGAAUAAUAAAAUAGGACGUUUGAUCUUAUUUUGUUGGUUUCUAGGAUCGACGUAAUGAUUAAUAGGGAUAGUUGGGGGCAUUAGUAUUCAAUUGUCAGAGGUGAAAUUCUUGGAUUUAUUGAAGACUAGCUACUGCGAAAGCAUUUGCCAAGGAUGUUUUCAUUAAUCAAGAACGAAAGUUAGGGGAUCGAAGACGAAUCAGAUACCGUCGUAGUCUUAAACCAUAAAACUAUAGCCGACUAGGGAUCGGAUGAUGUUAAUUUUUAAUGAACUUCA